rnacentral:tRNA from 1 species
GUGGCACAACAGUUGAGCACUCGGUUGCUAACCGAGAGGAUGGUGGUUUCAACCCACCC